GAUGAACGCUGGCGGCGUGCCUAAUACAUGCAAGUCGAGCGAACGGACGAGAAGCUUGCUUUUCUGAUGUUAGCGGCGGACGGGUGAGUAACACGUGGAUAACCUACCUAUAAGACUGGGAUAACUUCGGGAAACCGGAGCUAAUACCGGAUAAUAUUUUGAACCGCAUGGUUCAAAAGUGAAAGACGGUCUUGCUGUCACUUAUAGAUGGAUCCGCGCUGCAUUAGCUAGUUGGUAAGGUAACGGCUUACCAAGGCAACGAUGCAUAGCCGACCUGAGAGGGUGAUCGGCCACCCUGGAGCUGAGACACGGUCCAGACUCCUACGGGAGGCAGCAGUAGGGAAUCUUCCGCAAUGGGCGAAAGCCUGACGGAGCAACGCCGCGUGAGUGAUGAAGGUCUUCGGAUCGUAAAACUCUGUUAUUAGGGAAGAACAUAUGUGUAAGUAACUGUGCACAUCUUGACGGUACCUAAUCAGAAAGCCACGGCUAACUACGUG
rnacentral:rRNA from 1 species